ensembl:lncRNA PCA3 prostate cancer associated 3
UACAGGCAUGAGCCAUAGCACUUGGCCCUAUGAACUUUGUACAAUAUCAGAGUUCUGGAAGACGGAAAGUCCAAGAUCAAGAUCCUGACAUACUCGCUGUCUGAUGAGCACCUGCCUCCUGAUUCAUAGGCUGCCAUCUUUUUGCUGUGUCCUCACGUGACAGAAAAGCCUUCUCCAUCUCCUACACACUCUGAAAUAAUCUGUCAGAAGAUCCUCAUCCUGCCGUGCUGGCUUACUCUGGAUCAAGAGACAAAGACUCCAGCUCUAUCUCUGAUGGACCGAGUAGGAAGAAUCAGCAUGAGUCAACCCACCAGGUUUCCCAGAGCUUAAUCCAGAAGGGACCCAAACACUAGGGCUGCUGGAGCUACCUUCACCAAUACAGGGGUAAUCAUAGUACCUUUUACUGGGAGGAUUAAGUGAGAUAAUGCUUACUCAACUGCCAGGUACACGGGGAAAUUUGAACACAGAGACAUGCAUAGAGGGAAGGUGAUGUGAAGAUGAAGGCAGAGAUCCAGGUGAUGCUUCUAUGCACCAAGAACACUACAGAUUACCAGCAAACCAUCAGAAGCUAGGGGACAGGCAUGGAGCAGAUUCUCUCCCACAGCUCUUGGAAGGAACUUAUCCUACCAACGCCUUGAUCAUGG